AACGCACGAGACCUGCGGACCUGCGGAGGGAUCAUUAACGAGUGUAACUUACCCUUUUUUUUAAAAGAGGGUAGUACCUCCUGUCCUUUGUAGGCCCCUUUUUAUUGGGGGGCUUUUUAAGACUUUCUGCUUCGGCGGGGUUAUUCCCGCCGGAACACCCUCAAAAAACUCUUCAAAAACUAAUUCAGUCCGAGAAUUUUUGAAAAUAAAAAAAACUUUCAGCAACGGAUCUCUAGAUCG
rnacentral:misc_RNA from 1 species